GACGGUUGGGCGUUGACCAAGCUACAGCAGUCCCACAGUGAUGGGGUUCAUACUGCCUGCAGUCGGCCAUCGGACCGACCAGCUCUGCUGGUCGGUUGGGCGGGGACUUUCCCCACUACUUUCUUUAACCCAAACACAAAACCAAUCAACUAAAGCUUUGCAGACGGCUCUGCCGACUGCUAUUAAAUGACAACUCUCAACAACGGAUAUCUUGGCUCCUGUAACGAUGAAGAACGCAGCGAAAUGCGAUACGUAGUGUGAAUUGCAGAAUUCCGUGAACCAUCGAAUCUUUGAACGCAAAUUGCGCUCGAGGCCUCGGCCAAGAGCAUGUCUGUCUCAGCGUCGGCUUACCCCUCUCACUCCCCACUCUUUGUCACCAAAGAGCUGGGGUAGUGGAUCUGGCCGUCCCGGUGUACAGCCGGGUCGACCGAAGCACAGAGGCUUGUGCUUGGAUCCCUUUAAGGGCAACAGCUUGGUAGGUGGCUUAUGCUGCAUGCCGCUGGAGGCCUUGGAGUCCAAGCCUGUGGCCGGCAGGAAACCAUUCA
rnacentral:rRNA from 1 species